GACGAACGCUGGCGGCGUGCCUAAUACAUGCAAGUCGAGCGAAGUUUUUCUGGUGCUUGCCCUAGAAAAACUUAGCGGCGAACGGGUGAGUAACACGUAAAGAACCUGCCUCAUAGACUGGGACAACUAUUGGAAACGAUAGCUAAUACCGGAUAACAGCAUUAACUGCAUGGUUGAUGUUUAAAAGUUGGUUUUGCUAACACUAUGAGAUGGCUUUGCGGUGCAUUAGCUAGUUGGUGGGGUAAAGGCCUACCAAGGCGACGAUGCAUAGCCGACCUGAGAGGGUGAUCGGCCACACUGGGACUGAGACACGGCCCAGACUCCUACGGGAGGCAGCAGUAGGGAAUCUUCCGCAAUGGGCGAAAGCCUGACGGAGCAACGCCGCGUGAGUGAAGAAGGAUUUCGGUUCGUAAAGCUCUGUUGUUAGGGAAGAAUGAUUGUGUAGUAACGAUACACAGUAGAGACGGUACCUAACCAGAAAGCCACGGCUAACUACGUG
rnacentral:rRNA from 1 species